UUUGGUAGAAUAUGAACUUUUAGGUGGAAUAGUAUAUGACAAUUAAAUGUACGGUCGACGAUCAAAAAAAUUCAUACAGUAAGAGGAUUUAAAAAUCAUUCCAAUAAGACAAGAGCAAGUCCAAAGAUUCAAGGCUCAGUUUUGUUGUAAUUUGCAGGGGAUAAUGACAUAAUUAAGCACAUUUUACAAUGCAUAAAUUUCCAAAAACGUUAUUGGAUAUUUCACCUAUUAGGAUAAUGCUAUUAUAAAUCAUUACGUAUCCUUCAAUGAUUGGCUUAUGAGGAUUUCUAGUG
rnacentral:lncRNA from 1 species